GGCGUCAGGACGAACGCUGGCGGCGUGCCUAAUACAUGCAAGUCGAGCGAAUGACGAGGAGCUGCUCCUCUGAUUAGCGGCGGACGGGUGAGUAACACGUGGGCAACCUGCCCUGUAGACUGGGAUAACUUCGGGAAACCGGAGCUAAUACCGGAUAAUACAUUUCACCUCAUGGUGAAAUGUUGAAAGGCGCUUCGGCGUCACUACAGGAUGGGCCCGCGGUGCAUUAGCUAGUUGGUGGGGUAACGGCCUACCAAGGCAACGAUGCAUAGCCGACCUGAGAGGGUGAUCGGCCACAUUGGGACUGAGACACGGCCCAAACUCCUACGGGAGGCAGCAGUAGGGAAUCUUCCACAAUGGACGAAAGUCUGAUGGAGCAACGCCGCGUGAGUGAUGAAGGUUUUCGGAUCGUAAAACUCUGUUGUAAGGGAAGAACAAGUACGUUAGGAAAUGAACGUACCUUGACGGUGCCUUAUUAGAAAGCCACGGCUAACUACGUGCCAGCCGCCGC
rnacentral:rRNA from 1 species